UUGCUUUGGUAGCACAUAUACUAAAAUUUGAAUGAUACAGAGAAGAUUAGCAUGGCCCCUGAGAAAGGAUGACAUGCAAAUUCAUCAAGCGUUCCAUAUUUAU
rnacentral:snRNA from 1 species